UUCAUUUGUAACACAUUCUUUUUUUUUUUUUUUAAAUCCUCAACAACUUUGUCUCUAGGCCUGGCGAAACUAUUUGUGUUAAGGAUUGGGUUGAGAAUGAUGAGGAGAUUAUUGGGAAACUACAACUCCAUUCAGCUUUGGCGGACAGGUUUCACAUAGGCAGGGGUCCUGCAUGGUUAAUGCAUCUGUGGAGAACUAGUUCCUUCACUUCUUGCUGCAGGAAGGAGAACCUGGGCUUUGGAGUCUGACAGACUGAUGUUUUCUAGCAUCUGAAAUGGGGUACCUCUCCUUAUAAACAGCUGAUGUGGGGAAACUUCCCAGGAGGAGAACGUGCCUGCUGUGAGUAAGGGUAAAUGAAGACAAAUGAGAUGCUGCAGCUUAGUUUAGGAUGCUGUGAAGGUCAAGAGAGGCACCUCAGGAGUCAGUUAAGGGCAUUGGCCUCCACCCCUGCUUGGCUUGGAGGACUGGUUCCCCUUUGUAUGGGAUGGCAGAGGAAGAAGGCCCUGGUGUCAUUAUGGAGGAAAGGGAAAUGGAUGCCCAAUGACCAUAGAAUGGUCGACAUUUUUCUUUGGCAACUUCUCAUGUAGUUGUAAGAAGAUCAGCUUCAAUGAUUGCUCUCAAUUUGUCAUUGUCAAGUUCUGAUGGCUGGUCACUAUGGUCCUCAUCUUCAAGGCUCUCAUCUCGUUUGAAAAACUUCUUGAACCACCACUUCACUGUAUGUUAGCAGUUUCUGGACCAAAUGUGUUGUGUAUGUUGCCAGCUAUCUUUGCUACUUUAUGAUCCAUUUUGAACUUGAAUAAAAAAAGAAUCCCUCAAAUUU